GCGCGGGAGUCCUGCUGCUGACACAUCAGUGCUGCGAGAAGGACAGUCUGUCCCGCCAAGAUCGCACCUCCGAACAGCGUACACGGAAAACCGGGAGCCCCGAUUUGGUAAGAGGCAACAUAGAGGGUGAGGGCUGAAAUUGCGAGCAUUGCAGCAAAGUCGGCGU
rnacentral:SRP_RNA from 14 species